UUUAUGGAGAGUUUGAUCCUGGCUCAGGAUGAACGCUGGCGGCGUGCCUAAUACAUGCAAGUCGAGCGAACGGACGAGAAGCUUGCUUCUCUGAUGUUAGCGGCGGACGGGUGAGUAACACGUGGAUAACCUACCUAUAAGACUGGGAUAACUUCGGGAAACCGGAGCUAAUACCGGAUAAUAUUUUGAACCGCAUGGUUCAAAAGUGAAAGACGGUCUUGCUGUCACUUAUAGAUGGAUCCGCGCUGCAUUAGCUAGUUGGUAAGGUAACGGCUUACCAAGGCAACGAUGCAUAGCCGACCUGAGAGGGUGAUCGGCCACACUGGAACUGAGACACGGUCCAGACUCCUACGGGAGGCAGCAGUAGGGAAUCUUCCGCAAUGGGCGAAAGCCUGACGGAGCAACGCCGCGUGAGUGAUGAAGGUCUUCGGAUCGUAAAACUCUGUUAUUAGGGAAGAACAUAUGUGUAAGUAACUGUGCACAUCUUGACGGUACCUAAUCAGAAAGCCACGGCUAACUACGUGCCAGCAGCCGCGGUAAUACGUAGGUGGCAAGCGUUAUCCGGAAUUAUUGGGCGUAA
rnacentral:rRNA from 1 species